rnacentral:rRNA from 1 species
GACGAACGCUGGCGGCGUGCUUAACACAUGCAAGUCGAACGAAGAGCGAUGGAAGCUUGCUUCUAUCACUCUUAGUGGCGAACGGGUGAGUAACGCGUAAUCAACCUGCCCUUCAGAGGGGGACAACAGUUGGAAACGACUGCUAAUACCGCAUACGAUCUAAUCUCGGCAUCGAGGAUAGAUGAAAGGUGGCCUCUACAUGUAAGCUAUCACUGAAGGAGGGGAUUGCGUCUGAUUAGCUAGUUGGAGGGGUAACGGCCCACCAAGGCGAUGAUCAGUAGCCGGUCUGAGAGGAUGAACGGCCACAUUGAGACUGAGACACGGCCCAGACUCCUACGGGAGGCAGCAGUGGGGAAUCUUCCGCAAUGGACGAAAGUCUGACGGAGCAACGCCGCGUGAGUGAUGACGGCCUUCGGGUUGUAAAGCUCUGUUAAUCGGGACGAAAGGCCUUCUUGCGAAUAGUGAGAAGGAUUGACGGUACCGGAAUAGAAAGCCACGGCUAACUACGUG